rnacentral:lncRNA from 1 species
UGAUAUGUAUGCAUAUGUCAAAGUAGCGUUUUUUCUGCGGGUUUUACGAGGAACGUUUCUGCUGUGAUUUCGAUCUUAGGUGAAAGUUGCUUGGAGUUACUCAUGGAGUGUUACCGAAAUUUUUCUCAAUACGAUCUAGUCGCAGAACGUUUUUCAUAGGUUUUUGAGAGGAUUCUCAUGAUACAUUCGUUUCUUGAACGAAUUGGUCAACCAGAGGUGGAUCUAGC